AAUUUUCUUCGAUAUUUUUAUACGAAUUUUAAUAAUUUUAUACCUUCGAUCUCUUGGAAAUCUCGUACCGAAAGAUUUGUCAAAAGACCGGCGAUGCAAUCGCGAAUCAAUACCUGUCAAUAGUUUUAAAAUAAACAUUAAUUAGCGAUGUGGGUCUGGAAAUUUUGCUCGACAAAUUUCAUGGCGUACAAAUCAAGCCAAAGUCUCUACAAGGAGAGGAGUUCAUACUUGAGAGAUAUUUCUUUUUUUUCUGGAUAAGAUAAUUCAAUAUAUAAACCAAGCAUUUUACGAGGAUCGAAGCUUUCAAAGACAACAAAUAGCUUUUGCAGCUCCUCCGGUUUGCAGUUGGCCUUGAGCUUCCUCAGAUGCAACCCCUUGCGCCUCUGCUUCUUGUCCACGGCUGGCAAAGCAGCCUCGACGAGAUUCUCCUCGUCGUCCUCGUCGUCCUCCUCGUCCUCGUCCUCUUCAUUCUCGCAGG